AUGCCCUUUUAAGGCUGACAGUGCUUUAAGAGGCUAACACAGGAAGGUAAAGGAUACCUCCAUAAAACCCAGUGAAGAACUUGUAAAACCCUUAUUUGGAUCUAGAGUCACAGCA
ensembl:snoRNA